UUAAGCGACUAAGCGUACACGGUGGAUGCCCUGGCAGUCAGAGGCGAUGAAGGACGUGCUAAUCUGCGAAAAGCGUCGGUAAGGUGAUAUGAACCGUUAUAACCGGCGAUGUCCGAAUGGGGAAACCCAGUGCAAUUCGUUGCACUAUCGUUAACUGAAUACAUAGGUUAACGAGGCGAACCGGGGGAACUGAAACAUCUAAGUACCCCGAGGAAAAGAAAUCAACCGAGAUUCCCCCAGUAGCGGCGAGCGAACGGGGAGCAGCCCAGAGUCUGAAUCAGCUUGUGUGUUAGUGGAACGGUCUGGAAAGUCCGACGGUACAGGGUGAUAGUCCCGUACACCAAAAUGCACAGGCUGUGAACUCGAAGAGUAGGGCGGGACACGUGGUAUCCUGUCUGAAUAUGGGGGGACCAUCCUCCAAGGCUAAAUACUCCUGACUGACCGAUAGUGAACCAGUACCGUGAGGGAAAGGCGAAAAGAACCCCGGCGAGGGGAGUGAAAAAGAACCUGAAACCGUGUACGUACAAGCAGUGGGAGCACCUUCGGGUGUGACUGCGUACCUUUUGUAUAAUGGGUCAGCGACUUAUAUUCUGUAGCAAGGUUAACCGUAUAGGGGAGCCGCAGGGAAACCGAGUCUUAACUGGGCGUUAAGUUGCAGGGUAUAGACCCGAAACCCGGUGAUCUAGCCAUGGGCAGGUUGAAGGUUGGGUAACACUAACUGGAGGACCGAACCGACUAAUGUUGAAAAAUUAGCGGAUGACUUGUGGCUGGGGGUGAAAGGCCAAUCAAACCGGGAGAUAGCUGGUUCUCCCCGAAAGCUAUUUAGGUAGCGCCUCGUGAAUUCAUCUUCGGGGGUAGAGCACUGUUUCGGCUAGGGGGUCAUCCCGACUUACCAACCCGAUGCAAACUACGAAUACCGAAGAAUGUUAUCACGGGAGACACACGGCGGGUGCUAACGUCCGUCGUGAAGAGGGAAACAACCCAGACCGCCAGCUAAGGUCCCAAAGUCAUGGUUAAGUGGGAAACGAUGUGGGAAGGCACAGACAGCCAGGAUGUUGGCUUAGAAGCAGCCAUCAUUUAAAGAAAGCGUAAUAGCUCACUGGUCGAGUCGGCCUGCGCGGAAGAUGUAACGGGGCUAAACCAUGCACCGAAGCUGCGGCAGCGACACUAUGUGUUGUUGGGUAGGGGAGCGUUCUGUAAGCCUGCGAAGGUGACCUGUGAGGGUUGCUGGAGGUAUCAGAAGUGCGAAUGCUGACAUAAGUAACGAUAAAGCGGGUGAAAAGCCCGCUCGCCGGAAGACCAAGGGUUCCUGUCCAACGUUAAUCGGGGCAGGGUGAGUCGACCCCUAAGGCGAGGCCGAAAGGCGUAGUCGAUGGGAAACAGGUUAAUAUUCCUGUACUUGGUGUUACUGCGAAGGGGGGACGGAGAAGGCUAUGUUAGCCGGGCGACGGUUGUCCCGGUUUAAGCAUGUAGGCUGGUUGUCCAGGCAAAUCCGGAUAAUCAAGGCUGAGGUGUGAUGACGAGGCACUACGGUGCUGAAGUAACAAAUGCCCUGCUUCCAGGAAAAGCCUCUAAGCAUCAGGUAACAUCAAAUCGUACCCCAAACCGACACAGGUGGUCAGGUAGAGAAUACCAAGGCGCUUGAGAGAACUCGGGUGAAGGAACUAGGCAAAAUGGUGCCGUAACUUCGGGAGAAGGCACGCUGGUGUGUAGGUGAAGCCCCUGCGGGUGGAGCUGAGACCAGUCGAAGAUACCAGCUGGCUGCAACUGUUUAUUAAAAACACAGCACUGUGCAAACACGAAAGUGGACGUAUACGGUGUGACGCCUGCCCGGUGCCGGAAGGUUAAUUGAUGGGGUUAUCCGUAAGGAGAAGCUCUUGAUCGAAGCCCCGGUAAACGGCGGCCGUAACUAUAACGGUCCUAAGGUAGCGAAAUUCCUUGUCGGGUAAGUUCCGACCUGCACGAAUGGCGUAAUGAUGGCCAGGCUGUCUCCACCCGAGACUCAGUGAAAUUGAACUCGCUGUGAAGAUGCAGUGUACCCGCGGCAAGACGGAAAGACCCCGUGAACCUUUACUAUAGCUUGACACUGAACAUUGAGCCUUGAUGUGUAGGAUAGGUGGGAGGCUUUGAAGCGUGGACGCCAGUCUGCGUGGAGCCAACCUUGAAAUACCACCCUUUAAUGUUUGAUGUUCUAACGUUGGCCCCUUACCGGGGUUGCGGACAGUGUCUGGUGGGUAGUUUGACUGGGGCGGUCUCCUCCCAAAGCGUAACGGAGGAGCACGAAGGUUAGCUAAUCCUGGUCGGACAUCAGGAGGUUAGUGCAAUGGCAUAAGCUAGCUUGACUGCGAGCGUGACGGCGCGAGCAGGUGCGAAAGCAGGUCAUAGUGAUCCGGUGGUUCUGAAUGGAAGGGCCAUCGCUCAACGGAUAAAAGGUACUCCGGGGAUAACAGGCUGAUACCGCCCAAGAGUUCAUAUCGACGGCGGUGUUUGGCACCUCGAUGUCGGCUCAUCACAUCCUGGGGCUGAAGUAGGUCCCAAGGGUAUGGCUGUUCGCCAUUUAAAGUGGUACGCGAGCUGGGUUUAGAACGUCGUGAGACAGUUCGGUCCCUAUCUGCCGUGGGCGCUGGAGAAUUGAGGGGGGCUGCUCCUAGUACGAGAGGACCGGAGUGGACGCAUCACUGGUGUUCGGGUUGUCAUGCCAAUGGCACUGCCCGGUAGCUAAAUGCGGAAGAGAUAAGUGCUGAAAGCAUCUAAGCACGAAACUUGCCCCGAGAUGAGUUCUCCCUGAGACUUUAAGUCUCCUGAAGGAACGUUAAAGACGAUGACGUUGAUAGGCCGGGUGUGUAAGCGCAGCGAUGCGUUGAGCUAACCGGUACUAAUGAACCGUGAGGCUUAACCUU
rnacentral:rRNA from 1 species